rnacentral:piRNA from 1 species
UGACACAGCAUGACACGAGGGAUGAGGUCA